UACGUAGGGUGCGAGCGUUAAUCGGAAUUACUGGGCGUAAAGCGUGCGCAGGCGGUCGUGUAAGACAGGUGUGAAAUCCCCGGGCUCAACCUGGGAAUGGCGCUUGUGACUGCACGACUGGAGUGCGGCAGAGGGGGGUGGAAUUCCACGUGUAGCAGUGAAAUGCGUAGAGAUGUGGAGGAACACCGAUGGCGAAGGCAGCCCCCUGGGUCGACACUGACGCUCAGGCACGAAAGCGUGGGGAGCAAACAGG
rnacentral:rRNA from 1 species